rnacentral:misc_RNA from 1 species
GUAACAAGGUCUCCGUUGGUGAACCAGCGGAGGGAUCAUUACCGAGUUAUACAACUCAUCAACCCUGUGAACAUACCUAAAACGUUGCUUCGGCGGGAACAGACGGCCCUGUAACAACGGGCCGCCCCCGCCAGAGGACCCCUAACUCUGUCUUUAUAAUGUUUUUCUGAGUAAACAAGCAAAUAAAUUAAAACUUUCAACAACGGAUCUCUUGGCUCUGGCAUCGAUGAAGAACGCAGCGAAAUGCGAUAAGUAAUGUGAAUUGCAGAAUUCAGUGAAUCAUCGAAUCUUUGAACGCACAUUGCGCCCGCCAGUAUUCUGGCGGGCAUGCCUGUUCGAGCGUCAUUACAACCCUCAGGCCCCCGGGCCUGGCGUUGGGGAUCGGCGGAAGCCCCCUGUGGGCACACGCCGUCCCUCAAAUACAGUGGCGGUCCCGCCGCAGCUUCCAUUGCGUAGUAGCUAACACCUCGCAACUGGAGAGCGGCGCGGCCAUGCCGUAAAACACCCAACUUCUGAAUGUUGACCUCGAAUCAGGUAGGAAUACCCGCUGAACCUAAGCAUAUCA